rnacentral:rRNA from 1 species
GGCGAACGCUGGCGGCGUGCUUAACACAUGCAAGUCGAACGGAAAGGCCCGGCUUUUGUGGGGUGCUGGAGGGGCGAACGGGUGAGUAACACGUGAGUAACCUGCCCUUGACUUUGGGAUAACUUCAGGAAACUGGGGCUCAUACCGGAUAGGAGCUCCUGCUGCAGGGUGGGGGCUGGAAAGUUUCGGCGGUUGGGGAUGGACUAGCGGCUUAUCUGCUUGUUGGUGGGGUAGUGGCUGACCAGGGCUUUGCCGCGUAGGCGGCCUGAGAGGGUGGCCGGCCACGUUGCACCUGGGAUGCGACCCAGACUCCUCCGGUAGGCAGCGGUGGGGUAUGUUGCACUGUGGGCGGAGGCCUGGUGCAGCAACGCCGCGUGCGGGGUGUCGGCCUUCGGUUUGUAUUCCGCUUUCGCCUGUGACGGGGCGUGAGUGACGGUACUGGGUAAAGAAGCACCGGCUAACUACGUG